UUUCACCUUCUUCCUCCACCAUCCACUCCGUUUCAUCGCCGUCCACCAUCCAUCCACUCCGUUUCAUCACCUUCUUCCUCCACCAUCCACUCCGUUUCAUCGCCGUCCACUCUUCCACCAUUCAGAGGUCGGGUUCUUCACUCCGUUUCCUUUCCCCCUUGUUUUUCAUUUAACAAAAUUGAUUUCCCUCUCUCGUUUUUUCAUUCACGAAAUUGGAACCCUAAAGCACAAAUUUCCUUUCCCUCUCUUGUUUUUCAUUCACAAAAAAACCCUAACACACAGACAUUCUCUCUGCAGGAACCCUAAAUUGAUUUGUCUCACACGAACAGGGCCAGCUUCUAUCGCACAGACGACGAUUCACCCACCGCUUUUGGUCUUCAAAUUCCAAGCGCUAUAGCAGCAAUACAUGACAGAUCUGCCACAGCAUUUUGUGUAGCGCCGGACCUCUUCUACGCUACACAUCGUUGUGAUUGCUGCUGUUACACUGAUAUUGACUAAUGAGAGAUAGACCUGACCUUGUAACCCAUCUCAAAGGUUAUGGGUGUCAAGCUGGCUUACAGACUGGGUUCUUUUCAAGUUUGGACUUUUUUUUUCCCCAGUUCAACCCUUUGGAUGCAAUGCUCAUCCUUUGUUGCUUUUCAUUUGUAGCUUAACCUUGGCAUUUUAUUAGAGUAAAUUGUUGGCUAUGAAGAGUAAAUAUUAUUUUCAAUAGUAUAACGUUGUGCUGAAACAUGGUUUGUCAAUUGCCUUGAUGCUUUUAUCACUUAACUAGCGAAAGAAUUUGACCUAUUUUACAACAACUAAGUUGGCAGAGACGUAUAAUGCAAAAAUUCUAGUAUUUCCAUGAUUAGUUUAAAACUGCAGCAUGUUACUUUAAUUUCUUCUCCACAGGCUUAUCUGAAGGAAGGUACUGCUAUAAUUCAACUUGUUAUGUUUGAUGAUCAAAUUGGCUGCCUCAUUUAUCUACUGUUCACCAGUUUUGAAACAUUUGUUUGGAUCAGGAUUCAAUAGAGGAACCCUAAAUUGAUUUGUCUCACACGAACAGGGCCAACUUCUAUCGCACAGAUGACGAUUCACCCACCGCUUUUGGUCUUCAAAUUCCAAGGUUAGUUCAAGUUUCAGUUCGAUUAUUCAAUGAUUCUCAUUCCAAUUUCCCCUUUCGUUUAGUUGUUUAUAGUUUUCAAAAUUCUCUUCGCCGCUACCACCGCCAUCUUCACAUUCAGUGGUUGGUGGUCUUCUGGUCAUAGUUGUGUGUAGUUUUGUUUCUUGUGUGGUGGUGUUUUAGAUGUUGUAUAUUAGUUGAAUCUAGGUGAUUUGUGCUUAUUGCUAUAUAUUUAUCUGUUUUCACUAGUUUUCUAAUUCAUUGUACUAUUUGUUGGAAAUUAAGAAGUCUCACAUAAGUGAGAACACCAAAAAUUAGUGUCUAUAACUGGUGCAGAAGUGUUUCUGCAAGUGUGUAUAUUGUUUGUGUGUUUUGUGUUGGCGUUCUGAAUUUUGCUGUCCAAUUUAUAUCCUUGGUUUCACUAUGGUUCAGCUGUAGUCAGAUUCAGCAGAAGAUAAUUAUGUGGGGUUUAGGUUGAGCUCAAAUUACUGCUUCUGUCAAGCUAGCAGUGCAUAUCCUAUUUGUAUUGGUGAAUUUGUCACCCUGUGUUGUAGGAUUUUGUCCUUGUGGUUGGGGUUGGUGCUGUAAAGAAUUGGGGUGGUAGCUGACAUUAAGUUUGGCUAUCUAGAUGGGUGUUGUUUGGUGCCAGGCAGCUAGUUGGCUUGUAGAAACUCUUUUGUAUUCUAAGCAUGUCUCAUGCCCAUCUUUAUCUUUAUUAAUUCAAUCCUUUUUAGCCUUUCCAAAAAAAAAAGUGGCGGAUAGUUUGAAUCCAUAGUUUUGUUUUUGUUUUGUAUUUAUACAUAGUUGUGUUUUAUAUUUAUACAUAGUUGUGUGGUGGUAUUAUGAAUAAAUUAUAUUUAUGUUGGAAUGCUUUAUAAAUAUUGCUAAUUGCCUGAGUGGAACAAAAGGAGUGAGGGAACACCACAUGUUUGGUAUACUAUAGAUUUUCUCAUGUACUGUAAGUCUGUAAGGAUAAAGAGAUAAACACAGAAACAGUUUGCGAAAUAGAAAGCAUGUUGAUUUGAAAAAAAAUAAAAAUUUAUAUAUAAUUGAAUCUAUGUGAUUACUGUAGUGUUUUGAGUUGUUUUGUUCUUUGACUUGACCCCUUUAUGAUUAGAACCAUUUUCACCUGAUACUUAAUUAUUGCAUUCUUGCUGUUUUAGUAGUUAUGGAUCGUAGUUGGAUGAAUUCUAACCGUUUGAGUGGAGAGUAUAAGGAAGGAGUGAACAAGUUUAUACAAUUUGCUUUUGAAAAUCUUCCUAAUAACAACGAAAGGUUUUAUUGUCCUUGUAUGAAAUGUCUU